CCUGGCGGCAGUAGCGCGGUGGUCCCACCUGACCCCAUGCCGAACUCAGAAGUGAAACGCCGUAGCGCCGAUGGUAGUGUGGGGUCUCCCUAUGCGAGAGUAGGGAACUGCCAGGC
rnacentral:rRNA from 2 species